GACGAACGCUGGCGGCGCGCUUAACACAUGCAAGUCGAACGGAAAGGCCUGCAUUCCCUUGUGGAUUGCGGGUACUCGAGUGGCGAACGGGUGAGUAACACGUGAGUGAUCUGCCCCCAACUUGGGUAUAAGCCUGGGAAACUGGGUCUAAUUCCCGAUAGGACUGCAGGGUGGUGCCUGUGGUGGAAAACGAUUUUCUAGUGGUUGGGGAUGAGCUCGCGGCCUAUCAGCUUGUUGGUGGGGUAAUGGCCUACCAAGGCGGCGACGGGUAGCCGGCCUGAGAGGGUGGACGGCCACAUUGGGACUGAGAUACGGCCCAGACUCCUACGGGAGGCAGCAGUGGGGAAUAUUGCACAAUGGGCGGAAGCCUGAUGCAGCGACGCCGCGUGGGGGAUGACGGCCUUCGGGUUGUAAACUCCUUUCGACCGCGAGGAAGCCACCUGGUUGGAAGGGUGGUGACGGUAGUGGUAGAAGAAGCACCGGCUAACUACGUG
rnacentral:rRNA from 1 species